CAUAUUUUAUAGAACUGAUCUAAGCCAUUGAGAAGACUUAAAAGUCCCAUGGACGUGAGCUUUUGUCUCUACAGUCCUUUUCUUGCUUUUGGAACAUACAUCCAUACUGAAGAGUAAAUGCACAUGCCCAAAGUUAACUGUUCCACCAUGAUGCUUCAGAUUCCAACAUUUGGCUCAAGCAUGGGCAUGAGACAUAAUCAAGGCAAGUAAAGGCGAUGAUGUUUUUCUUGAAAUGCUAGAGCAGAAGUGGUGUCCCAUCUCCAGGCUCUUCCUGAGAGAUUCCACAUUUGGUGGGGCAGCAGCAACCCCGUUGCCACAAUGCCAUUUGACACUGAAACUUGUUCAGAGAAGACAUGGCUGGAAGGAAGUGUAAAAGUGAGUGCUAAUGAUGUUAUUUGUGCCUAAUGUUCAUCUAUGCCAGAGGAAGGCUCUAUAUUUAGUAUUAUCAGUUAUAUAAAUCAAUAAAUUUCUUUUUCACUUAA